UUUUUCCCCAUGGACAGACAGAGGUGCUUUUGAGUUUAGAAACAGAGGAAUCUUCUUUUAAUAAAUUUGAACUGGGAAGCUAAAGUAAGCAUGAUUCCUGACAAAGUGAUCAGUAUGGAAACAUCUAUGUACAGAAACUUUUGAGUGUGUGCAAUGCACUGGUUUGAGACAAACAUUUGGACCUCUCUAUGGUGAUCUGACCGUACAUUCACUUGUUGCAGUCCAGAGUGAUAUUCUUGUAAUGGUUAAUCAGUGCAGAUGGUAAAAGCCGCAGGAAAUUAACAAGAGCCUUAAUCAAUAAUGUUCACUGUAUAUAAAGUGAGGGAACAAAAUUUGUCUGGAAGAUGAGACAGAAGUAGCACCUUCUAAUUUCUAAAAGUAACAAAAGUAAUAGCUGAAGACAUUAAUGUUGGAGCAUGCUACUGCCAGUAGGGUCACCGAAAUCUCAGCCUCUCUUUCUGAAAUUCGGUAUCAAAACAAACAUGAGACCAGUUCUGAUGUGAGCUGUUAAACUUUAAUGCCAAGAGUGCAAUACAUUAUAUUUUGCUGUAAACACAGUGUAAGCAAAGCUGUAUUCUUAAAGCUUUGUUGACUGUACUAGUUGUUUUGGGGCUUUGUCUGUUAAAAAUCCAUCACAAAACUGCAGUCAAAAACUGUAAGGUAAUCUUCAAGACCAUUAAAUACUUUUUUCCCCCCUAAUGUAUUUAAUAAAUGCACAUCUGGGUACAAAAAAUGCACAUCUGGGUACAAAAAUAUACCAAAUUUAUUUCAUCUGUGAUUUUCUCAAAGAGAAACUGAUAAAUAAGACUUUCACAUUUUUGUUGUGUUUUAUUUCUGCCGCACCAGGGGCUCAAAAAAUUAAUGUGUCAGUAAAGGAUUUGACAUUGUGUUACGACAGUCAUCAAUCCAGCGAGCCCUGUAGCCAUAAAUAAGCUUCAUACAGUGCCACACUAAAGAGGACAGUUUUUCUUCUGCAGGACAUUGAAAAUGUCACGGCAAGGGAAUUGUUUGUCCCUGUCGCCACGACAACGCCACCAGCACUUGUCAUUAACUUUCGCACCAAGAUUUUAAUCAGUGGUCUUUGUGGCAUAAGAGCGAGUCCACAUCAGCCCAAAUUUUCGAAGCCGUUAUUCUAAUUAUGACAAGAAGCUAUAGAUUGAUGAGCUUAGUUUUCUACAAGGACUGGUGGCAGUUAAUUCCUGUGACCUGUGUGCCUCCAGUAGUCUCUUUUCGAGAUGGAGUCUUGAAAGUUCGAUUAUUAGUGACAGGUUGUAAGUGAGAAGAAGCUUAUCUCUCCAGAGAGUGUUGAUAACUUGAGACAAGGUUUAACUAGGAAGUAGUGAGACAGUAGAUGGCAAAAAAAAAAAAAAAAAA
rnacentral:lncRNA from 1 species